AUUCAUUUUUGUUUUUUACAGAACCUAGAUGUGGAGCUGUUUGUGCUAUAUCCUGUCCCUUUGGUAACGUACUGGAUGAAAACAACUGUCCAAUAUGUGAAUGCAAAACAGGAUGUGCAGGUAAUGUUGAACCAAAGCCUUUAACCAGCUGUGGUGCAGGUCAACAAAGAUGUCCCCCUCAAUAUCAAUGCAACACACCUCCUUUAGGUCGCAGUGGAGUAUGCUGUCCUUAUGUAUGUCCUCAAAUAAAAUGCAGUCGACCAUGUCCAAACGGGUAUAA